rnacentral:pre_miRNA from 1 species
AUUAAGUUCAUUUUUCAGUUUAGAUAUAAUGCCUUGACUCUUGAUCCUAUUUGAAAUAUUUUUGUGAUUAAUAAUUUUAUUGUUACUAGAUGGCAAAACGUGAAUACUACUUGUUGCGUGACUAAUUUUUUUAGUGUUUUGUAUAAAAUUUUUAAAUAAGACAAAUGGUCAAAGCAUUGGAUAUAUAAAUCGAAAAAUGAAGUUAUU